rnacentral:lncRNA from 1 species
CUUUAUUCAAUAUUAUUUCCUUUUUUGUGAAUAAUUGAUUUUGGUCUAUUCAAAAUAAUAUCUUAAGUUAAAAGUUGAAGUUUGAAAGACUUACGUAUGACCAAAAUUUAGAUUUUUUUUAGCCAUGUACUCGUAUCCUAUAUUUUAGAAAAUAAAAGAUCCGACACUUAGAUAUAUAUCCAUACCUGAUACCCAUGUCCAAGUCCGAGCAUCAUAGCUUUAAAGCUUUGUCAAGUUAAGCUAAGCACACACAUGCUUGAGUGAUGACACAUCUUAUCAUGUUCCCAUGUGAGACUGCAAUCAUAAGUGGUUGGCAUAGAAAACUGCAUCUUUUGGUUAAGCAUGAAUAAAGAGAUAGGUUGGUAGUCAAUCUGCUUAAAAUUGUGACUUGUUUCAUGACUAGGACCUGUGGAAUCGACGUUUAAGUAUGGAUAAAGAUCUGCUUUGCUCAUACAUGCUUGAGUGGUGUAACUUAUCAUUUAAAUGAGACUGCAAAAGUAUGUAGUUGGCUGAGAAAACUUGCAUCUUAUGAGCAAGUUUUGAAAGGUUUCGAGUUUUUUGAAAAUUGCAGUAACUUCCCUAAAAAUGAUGAAAAGAAGGCCAUAAAGGUUGAGACGUGUGUUGACUACAGAGAUAGAUUCGUUCAUACACACCAUUCAAGAAUUGGCAACCAAUAAUAGGAUCACUUUUGCUUUGAAAAAUCGAACUUGAGCACAUUUGAGUUGUGCUUAAAACUAUGUCAGACUUGCUUUGAAGUAACUUAUUUUUGCCAAAAAUGAUUUUCAAAUUUAGUAUUUUUAACUGAAAUUGCUUUUAUAGAAAGUAAGUCUUUUAAGCGCAAUCAAACAUGAUUUAGGUGUUGUGUCGAACACUGGCUUGGCAUGCUAACUGUAGUCGUGCAUAGAUGCAAGUGAAAUGGUCAUGACAUUAUUUUAUUUGCUGCUUUUUCCUUUUUAACAGUGAUUUGAGAAUGCCAGUGUACAAAUGUGCAUAUCUAUUAGACAUCCAGUGAAGUAACGGUAGUAUAAUCUAUCGUUCUUGAUCAUUUGAGGUUGGUUUUCUUGUUCCAUUUUAUCUUGCUUCCUUCAAGAUGUUAUUCUUCAUCAUUCUCCAUAUGGUCCUAUAAAAAAUGUCCUUUUUCAUGCUGUAUAUAUGAUGUUGUCCUGCCCUGCCCUGCCCAUCUUCGUGCUGUAUAUCCUUGAUUUUCUUGGUAGUGUGUCUAAAAAAGCCAUAGAAUCCUCGCUUUUUCUGCAUUCAGACGACGUGUUAGUUUGAUUUUCCCAUAUAACUUGGUGGUUCUCUUGUAUGCAGUUUGAUAAGAUUUGACCCCAUAAGCAGACCGACACGUAGAUUACAGCUGCUUUAAUUGGAUUCAAACUUUUAGGCUUGGUAUACAGUUAAUAAAUUGUAUGGAUGAACUUGUGUAGUUCAUAUGGUGGGCAAUGGUUUUCCAGGUUUUUUCAUACCUAGUGUGUACUGGCG